rnacentral:rRNA from 1 species
GUCCCGCAACGAGCGCAACCCUCGUUCUUAGUUGCCAGCAUUUCGGAUGGGCACUCUAGGGAGACUGCCGGUGACAAACCGGAGGAAGGUGGGGAUGACGUCAAGUCAGCUUGCCCCUUACGUACUGCGCUACACACGUACUACAGUGCUCGAGACAAAGGGCAGCAAGUAAGCGAAUACAAGCAAAUCGCAGAAACUCGGGCUCAGUUCAGAGCGCAGGCUGCAACUCGCCUGCGUGAAGUCGGAAUCGCUAGUAAUUACAGGUCAGCAUACUGCAGUGUAUUCGUUCCCGGGCCUUGUACACACCGCCCGUCACACCAUGGAAGCAGGUCACGCCCGAAGUCGUUACCCUAACCGUCAAAGGAGGGGGACUCCGAAGGUAGGACUGGUGACUGGGGUGAAGUCGUGAUAAGGUAGCCG